CUCUCUGAUUCAGCGGCGGACGGGUGAGUAAUGCCUAGGAAUCUGCCUGGUAGUGGGGGACAACGUUUCGAAAGGAACGCUAAUACCGCAUACGUCCUACGGGAGAAAGCAGGGGACCUUCGGGCCUUGCGCUAUCAGAUGAGCCUAGGUCGGAUUAGCUAGUUGGUGAGGUAACGGCUCACCAAGGCGACGAUCCGUAACUGGUCUGAGAGGAUGAUCAGUCACACUGGAACUGAGACACGGUCCAGACUCCUACGGGAGGCAGCAGUGGGGAAUAUUGGACAAUGGGCGAAAGCCUGAUCCAGCCAUGCCGCGUGUGUGAAGAAGGUCUUCGGAUUGUAAAGCACUUUAAGUUGGGAGGAAGGGCAUUAACCUAAUACGUUAGUGUUUUGACGUUACCGACAGAAUAAGCACCGGCUAACUUCGUGCCAGCAGCCGCGGUAAUACGAAGGGUGCAAGCGUUAAUGGGAAUUACUGGGCGUAAAGCGCGCGUAGGUGG
rnacentral:rRNA from 1 species